rnacentral:rRNA from 1 species
GGGGUAUAAUCCCUUAUAUUAACAAAGGUAAAUCCGCUUUAAGAUGAUAAGAUAAAUCAUAGAGAUAGGUAGUUGUUAAGGUAAUAGCUUAACAAGCCUAUAAUUCUCUUAGUCGUAGCUGAAAUGGUUGAUCGACCACAUUGGGGCUGAAAAAAACCCAAGACAAUAAAUUGUACAGCAGUGGGGAAUAUUAGUCAAUGGCCUAACGGCUGAACUGGCAACUUGGAGGAAUGGCUUAAAUUCUUAUAAAAUUGAAAGAUGGAAUAAGAAUUAUAAAGGUUAAAUCUAUCAAAGAAUAAAAUUCGAUAUGUAUAUUGUAUAAUGAUAGUAUAUAUAAUAGUCUUGACUAAUUACGUGCCAGCAGUCGCGGUAAUACGUAAGAGGCUAGUGUUAUUCAUUUUAAAUAGGUUUAAAGCGUACAUAAACGGAAGAAAUUUACCAUUAAAAUGGAAUAAUUUUUAUCUAGAGUUUAAUAUAAAAAGGUAGUACUUAUAGAGUAGAGAUUUAAUUUUUUGAUACAGUAGGGACUGGUAAAUGCGAAAGCAACCUUUUAUGUAAAAACUGACGUUGAUGGACGAAGGCUUAGGUCACGAAUAGGAUUAGAUACCCUAGUAGUCUAGGCAGACAAAGCUGAAUGCUUUAGGUUAAGGUACUCUUAGUCUAAAAAUGAAAAUGUAAGCAUUUCACCUCAAGAGUAACGUGGCAACGCGGAAACUGAAAUCACUAGGCCGUUUCUGACACCAGUAGUGAAGUAUGUUAGUUAAUUCGAUAAUCCACGAAAAAUCUUACCACAAUUGGAAUUAUAUAUAUAUUUAUAUAAUGAAGCGAGUUUUACAUUAUAUUGUAAUGUUGCGAGUUUUGCAUUAUAUUAUUAUAAUAUAACGAGUGUUGCACGGCUGUUUUCAGUUAAUGUUGUGAAAUUUUGGUUUCGGCCAAGGUAAAAUUAACAUAAACCCUUGCUUUAUUUAUAAAUCCCCUUUUUUUAUAAAGCUGUAAUUAUCGAUUUUUAGUAUAAUUGAUAGAUUAAUAGGGCUAAAGACAAGUCAUCAUGACCUUUAAAUUGUGGGCUCUAGACGUGCCACAUGUUCCUAGACAAAAAGAUGCGAAAAUGUGAAUUUUAGCUAAUCUUAUAAAAUAGGAUACAAAUAGAUAUGGAUUAUAGUCUGAAACUCGACUAUAUGAAUAAGUAAUUGCUAGUAAUCG